rnacentral:rRNA from 1 species
AGUGAACGCUGGCGGUAGGCCUAACACAUGCAAGUCGAACGGCAGCACAGUAAGAGUUUGCUCUUACGGGUGGCGAGUGGCGGACGGGUGAGGAAUACAUCUGACUCUACUUUUUCGUGGGGGAUAACGAAGGGAAACUUACGCUAAUACCGCAUACGACCUACGGGUGAAAGCAGGGGAUCUUCGGACCUUGCGCGAUUGAAUGAGCCGAUGUCGGAUUAGCUAGUUGGCGGGGUAAAGGCCCACCAAGGCGACGAUCCGUAGCUGGUCCGGGAGGAUGAUCAGCCACACUGGAACUGGGACACGGUCCAGACUCCUACGGGAGGCAGCAGUGGGGAAUAUUGGACAAUGGGCGCAAGCCUGAUCCAGCCAUACCGCGUGGGUGAAGAAGGCCUUCGGGUUGUAAAGCCCUUUUGUUGGGAAAGAAAAGCAGCAGGUUAAUACCCCGCUGUUCUGACGGUACCCAAAGAAUAAGCACCGGCUAACUUCGUG